rnacentral:rRNA from 1 species
UACGAAGGGGGCUAGCGUUGCUCGGAAUCACUGGGCGUAAAGCGCACGUAGGCGGUUCUUUAAGUCAGGGGUGAAAUCCUGGAGCUCAACUCCAGAACUGCCUUUGAUACUGGGGAUCUCGAGUCCGGAAGAGGUAAGUGGAACUCCGAGUGUAGAGGUGAAAUUCGUAGAUAUUCGCAAGAACACCAGUGGCGAAGGCGGCUCACUGGCCCGAUACUGACGCUGAGGUGCGAAAGCGUGGGGAGCAAACAGG